rnacentral:rRNA from 1 species
GAGAGAGGAGGCGAGCGUUAUCCGGAGUUAUUGGGCGUAAAGGGUACGUAGGCGGCUGGUCAAGUCUGGGGUUAAAGACCACAGCUUAACUGUGGGAGGGACUUGGAAACUGACCAGCUGGAGUGGGGCAGGGGUUGCGGGAAUUCAAGGUGUAGCGGUGAAAUGGGUAGAUAUCGGGAAGAACACCUGAGGCAAAAGCUCGCAACUGGGCCCUGACUGACGCUGAGGUACGACAGCUAGGGGAGCGAAUGGG